UACGAAGGGGGCUAGCGUUGCUCGGAAUCACUGGGCGUAAAGCGCACGUAGGCGGCUUUUUAAGUCAGGGGUGAAAUCCUGGAGCUCAACUCCAGAACUGCCUUUGAUACUGAGAAGCUCGAGUCCGGGAGAGGUGAGUGGAACUGCGAGUGUAGAGGUGAAAUUCGUAGAUAUUCGCAAGAACACCAGUGGCGAAGGCGGCUCACUGGCCCGGUACUGACGCUGAGGAGCGAAAGCGUGGGGAGCGAACAGG
rnacentral:rRNA from 1 species